AUUGAACGCUGGCGGCGGGCUUAACACAUGCAAGUCGAACGGUAACAUAAAGAAGCUUGCUUCUUUGAUGACGAGUGGCGGACGGGUGAGUAAUGCUUUGGGAAUCUAGCUUAUGGAGGGGGAUAACUACGGGAAACUGUAGCUAAUACCGCGUAAUAUCGAAAGAUUAAAGUGUGGGACCUUCGGGCCACAUGCCAUAGGAGGAGCCCAAGUGGGAUUAGUUAGUUGGUAAGGUAAAGGUUCCCCAAGCCUACUAUGUUGAGUUGGUCUGAAAGGAUGACAGGCUCCUGGGAUUGAUGAUGCUGUCUGUAUUCCUUUUGGGAUUAGUGUUGGUGAUUUUGGCUUAUGGAGGGACCCUUGGGCCAUGCUGCUCGCGUGGGUGAUGAGGGGCUUGGGGUGGAUGGGCGUUGGGUGUGGGAGGAGGGGUGGGUGGUUAGCUGAGUUGGGUUGUACGUGGUGAAGGGUAAUUGACGGGCUCGACUCUGGGAUUGUUGGCGUG
rnacentral:rRNA from 1 species